AGAGUUUGAUCCUGGCUCAGAACGACGCUGGCGGCGUGGAUAAGACAUGCAAGUCGAGCGCUGAUUACAAGGUAGCAAUAUUUUGUAGUUGGAGCGGCGCAAGGGUGCGUAACACGUGGGUAAUCUGCCAUGAAGUUUGGGAUAACUUGCUGAAAGGCGAGCUAAUACCGGAUGUGAAAAUUGGGAGGCAUCUCUUGAUUUUCAAAGCUGGGGACCGUAAGGCCUGGCGCUUCAUGAUGAGCCCGCGGCCUAUCAGCUAGUUGGUAAGGUAACGGCUUACCAAGGCUAAGACGGGUAGCUGGUCUGAGAGGACGACCAGCCACACUGGAACUGAGACACGGUCCAGACACCUACGGGUGGCAGCAGUCGAGAAUUUUUCACAAUGGGCGCAAGCCUGAUGGAGCGACGCCGCGUGGGGGAUGAAUGGCUUCGGCCCGUAAACCCCUGUCAUUUGCGAUCAAACCUCGUUAUUUAAAAGAUGACGAGCUGAUAGUAGCGAAAGAGGAAGGGACGGCUAACUCUGUGCCAGCAGCCGCGGUAAUACAGAGGUCCCAAGCGUUGUUCGGAUUCACUGGGCGUAAAGGGUGCGUAGGUGGCGAGGUAAGUCGGAUGUGAAAUCUCCGAGCUCAACUCGGAAAUGGCAUUGGAAACUACCUUGCUCGAGGGUCGGAGGGGGGACUGGAAUACUUGGUGUAGCAGUGAAAUGCGUAGAUAUCAAGUGGAACACCAGUGGCGAAGGCGAGUCCCUGGACGACUCCUGACACUGAGGCACGAAAGCUAGGGGAGCAAACAGGAUUAGAUACCCUAGUAGUCC
rnacentral:rRNA from 1 species